rnacentral:tRNA from 1 species
GCCGAAGUGGUGGAACUGGUAGACACGCACGCUUGAGGGGCGUGUGGGGCAACCCGUGGGGGUUCGAAUCCCCCCUUCGGCACCA